rnacentral:rRNA from 1 species
AUUGAACGCUGGCGGCAUGCCUUACACAUGCAAGUCGAACGGCAGCACGGGAGCAAUCCUGGUGGCGAGUGGCGAACGGGUGAGUAAAGCAUCGGCACGUGCCCAGUCGCGGGGGAUAACGUAGCGAAAGCUACGCUAAUACCGCAUACGAUCUGUGGAUGAAAGCGGGGGACCGUAAGGCCUCGAGCGAUUGGAGCGGCCGAUGUCAGAUUAGGUAGUUGGUGAGGUAAAGGCUCACCAAGCCGACGAUCUGUAGCUGGUCUGAGAGGACGACCAGCCACACUGGGACUGAGACACGGCCCAGACUCCUACGGGAGGCAGCAGUGGGGAAUUUUGGACAAUGGGCGCAAGCCUGAUCCAGCAAUGCCGCGUGCAGGAUGAAGGCCUUCGGGUUGUAAACUGCUUUUGUACGGAGCGAAACGGCUUCCACUAAUACUGGGGGCUAAUGACGGUACCGUAAGAAUAAGCACCGGCUAACUACGUGCCAGCCGCCGCGGUAAAAC